UUGGGUCUAAUAAGAUGUCUGAUUGCAAAUUGGAUGGUGGGUUUAAUAGCCCUUAGGCCU
rnacentral:tRNA from 1 species